ensembl:lncRNA
AUGUUCAAGACUUUUGUUUUGACGGCCCGCUGUCUGAGACUCAAGACUUUUAUUUUUUUUGGCUUCUGUCGGAUGUUCAAGGGUUUUAUUUUGACGGGCCCGCUGUCUGAGACUCAAGGCUUUUAUUUCGACGGGUCUCUUUAUGAUGUUCAAGGCUUUUAUUUUGAUGGAUCGCUGUCUGAUGCUCAAGGCUUUUAUUUUGACGGGCCUCUGUCUGAUGGUCACGACUUUUAUUUUGACGUACCGCUGUCUGAGACUCAAGGCUUUUAUUUUGACGGGCCUCUGUCUGAUGUUCAAGGCUUUUAUUUUGAUGGAUCGCUGUCUGAUGCUCAAGGCUUUUAUUUUGACGGGCCUCUGUCUGAUGUUCAAGGCUUUUAUUUUGACGGCCCGCUGUCUGAGACUCAAGGCUUUUAUUUUUAUGGGCUUCUGUCGGAUGUUCAAGGCUUUUAUUUUGACGGCCCGCUGUCUGAGACUCAAGGCUUUUAUUUUGACGGGCCUCUGUCUGAUGUUCAAGGCUUUUAUUUUGAUGGAUCGCUGUCUGAUGCUCAAGGCUUUUAUUUUGACGGGCCUCUGUCUGAUGUUCAAGGCUUUUAUUUUGACGGGCCUCUGACUGAUGUUCAAGACUUUUAUUUUGACGGCCCGCUGUCUGAGACUCAAGGCUUUUAUUUUUAUGGGCUUCUGUCGGAUGUUCAAGGCUUUUAUUUUGACGUACCGCUGUCUGAUGCUCAAGGCUUUUAUUUUGAUGGCCCGCUGUCUGAGUCUCAAGGCUUUUAUUUUUAUGGGCUUCUGUCUGAUGUUCAAGGCUUUUAUUUUGACAGGCCGCUGUCCGAUGUUCAAGGCUUUUAUUUUGACGGGCCUUUGUCUGAUGUUCAAGGCUUUUAUUUUUAUGGGCUUCUGUCUGAUGUUCAAGGCUUUUAUUUUGACAGGCCGCUGUCCGAUGUUCAAGGCUUUUAUUUUGACGGGCCUCUGUCUGAUGUUCAAGGCUUUUAUUUUGACAGGCCGCUGUCUGAUGUUCAAGGCUCUUAUUUUGACAGGCCGCUGUCUGAUGUUCAAGGCUCUUAUUUUGACAGGCCGCUGUCUGAUGUUCAAGGCUUUUAUUUUGACAGGCCGCUUUCCGAUGUUCAAGGCUCUUAUUUUGACAGGCCGCUGUCUGAUGUUCAAGGCUUUUAUUUUGACAGGCCGCUUUCCGAUGUUCAAGGCUCUUAUUUUGACAGGCCGCUGUCUGAUGUUCAAGGCUCUUAUUUUGACAGGCCACUGUCUGAUAUUCAAGGCUUUUAUUUUGACGGGCCGCUUUCUGAGGCUCAAGGCUUUUAUUUUGACGGGCCUCUGUCUGAUGUUCAAGGCUUUUAUUUUGACGGGCCUCUGACUGAUGUUCAAGACUUUUAUUUUGACGGCCCGCUGUCUGAGACUCAAGGCUUUUAUUUUUAUGGGCUUCUGUCGGAUGUUCAAGGCUUUUAUUUUGACGUACCGCUGUCUGAUGCUCAAGGCUUUUAUUUUGAUGGCCCGCUGUCUGAGUCUCAAGGCUUUUAUUUUUAUGGGCUUCUGUCUGAUGUUCAAGGCUUUUAUUUUGACAGGCCGCUGUCCGAUGUUCAAGGCUUUUAUUUUGACGGGCCUUUGUCUGAUGUUCAAGGCUUUUAUUUUUAUGGGCUUCUGUCUGAUGUUCAAGGCUUUUAUUUUGACAGGCCGCUGUCCGAUGUUCAAGGCUUUUAUUUUGACGGGCCUCUGUCUGAUGUUCAAGGCUUUUAUUUUGACAGGCCGCUGUCUGAUGUUCAAGGCUCUUAUUUUGACAGGCCGCUGUCUGAUGUUCAAGGCUCUUAUUUUGACAGGCCGCUGUCUGAUGUUCAAGGCUUUUAUUUUGACAGGCCGCUUUCCGAUGUUCAAGGCUCUUAUUUUGACAGGCCGCUGUCUGAUGUUCAAGGCUUUUAUUUUGACAGGCCGCUUUCCGAUGUUCAAGGCUCUUAUUUUGACAGGCCGCUGUCUGAUGUUCAAGGCUCUUAUUUUGACAGGCCACUGUCUGAUAUUCAAGGCUUUUAUUUUGACGGGCCGCUUUCUGAGGCUCAAGGCUUUUAUUUUGACGGGCCUCUGGGCGAUGUUCAAGGCUUUUAUUUUGAAGGGGUGUUUGCGGAUAUCGGGCCCGUGAGCGCAGAGCAGCUUCUGUCCGUCGCGAAUUUUCGCAAAUAA